AGGUGUGGCGUGGGUUUGAUAAGGGUUUGGAGAGGAGACUUGCCAGCCAACAAAUAGAGUACAACUUGGAAAAUUGGAGAAAUAUCUACAACUCUAAUCCGUAAGGAAAGUGAGAACGAGAAAUUUAACAGCAACUUGGAGUCAAAAACCCAAACUGCUGCUGGGACACGAUGCUUGAGGAGGAGCAAUACGCAUCAGUUCUUUUUCUUGAGUAAAAGUACUAUGUUUGGCAUCAAAGAGUUAUAACAAGAAACUACAAGAACUAACAACGUAAGUCUUCUAGAAGAAUUUUGGUUUCAUAUUGUUUAACUCUUCAAUUGGAAUACUAGAAUUAAGUUUGGUAUUUAACUAUGGUGGGUAACAGUAACAUGGAUUUUCAUGAUGAAAUAAACUAGUUCACGAAUAACCAUGAACCUGGAAUUAAAAAAAAAGCUAUUAAGAGUUAGUUUUGAUAGCAUUAUAGGUAGUCUGGCGGAUGGUAUUUUGAGUAACAUUGAGACAUGGGUCAUAGGAAUUAUGACUCGCUAUCACUUAAACUUACUGAAUUUCGUGGUUAGCAGAUGGUAACAUAAACUUGUAUUGAUUUAUAGAUUUCACACGAAUUGAGCACUUGGAUCGCUUAGAAGUCAUACAGAUUGCUUGAGGUGUUUGGUAUUGCGACACGAGUACUGUGAGUAGUAAUCUUACCAUAAUUUAUAUUUUCAUAACCUACAUGGUUUAUAUAUGAUUUUGAAAAUAAAUGUGUUACGUAUGCUUUGAAAUUUGCAUGUGAGACAAGUCCUUUACUUGAUAUGGUACCGAACAGUUUACUUGAAAUGUUUACCGGUUAACCAAAAUAUUUUCAUCGUUACUAGAUAUGUUUUACCGUUACUUAAGAUGUAACAGUUAUUUAAAAUGUUUUCACUGUUACUGAACAUGUUUUACUGUUACUCGAGACAUGAUUACCGUUACCGAAAUAAAAUUACAAGAUUUGAUAAGAAAUGAUAUGCCCUUCAUUAUUUUGAAAAUGCUUUUGUACGAGUAUUUACUGUUUACAAGAAAGAGUAUUAAUGGGAGGAGAUUUUGAAAGAUCCCGUAGCUAGUGGCGAGUUCAUUAGACUUGGUGCACCUUGUAUUUACCGAUUACCGAGUACAUUUAUAGCCCUCGCUAGUGAGAAGGUAUAACUAGCAUACAGUUAUGGUUUUCCCUUGGUUGUGUUGUUGAUUUCUAAUACAGGUUUAUUUUUGGAUAGUCCUAAAACAGAGGAAACUCUGUCCGAUUUUCUGUAAAAUACCGAUGAGGCUUACUUGGGGGCACUUGCUCCCAGGCGUCGGUCAUGAUCCUAAAUUGGGUCGUGACAAGCUAACACAUUAAUUCCACGCCAACUCAUCGGACUGGUAAUUUUAGGAAAUUUAACAGUGGAAUAAAAUCAUUUGAAGACAAAGGCAGAUUUGAAGCUAACCUGUCUAGUGUCAAUGAAGCAGUCUUUAAAGUUACAAUCCAAGAUCCGGAGGAAUUACAGAAAGCUUGAAUCCGCUGCCUUCUUUUUCUUGUUUCUUCUUUAGUAUUGCUCGUGCAGAUUUAGCAGCAGACACACUGGUACUCUGGAGUUCCAUUAACUGGAGGUUUUCCACAUCUGCCAGUUCAGCUGGUAGUU
rnacentral:lncRNA from 1 species